AAGAAAUACGGUAUUCAAGGUAAAGCUUCUAACUUAAACCUUUAGUGGUGAAACUCCAUUAAUAUUUCU
rnacentral:tRNA from 1 species